rnacentral:lncRNA from 1 species
AAUAUCUUUAUCCAUUUUUGCAGUGCUUCUAUCUUAUCAGUAGAGGGAAAGUGAAUACAUCAUUUAUCCUAUAAAUGAAAAGGUUGCAUCCUUUUAUAAACUUUUUCCUUGUUUUAUUCUUAUCCUUCCUGUUCCGGUCUUCGUUGUCGUUGUGAGGGCUUCGGACUGCCAGGACUUUCUCUCUCAGCUGUUGCAUCCUUAAUA